GAGUUCCUGGCGCAAAAGGCCCACCGGCCGGAGAAGGAUUUGUUGUACGUGAACAAACAAGACGCGGAACGGGACAUGCUCCCUUUUCUCUCGAGUCGAGGUUGCCACCAGGUGUCUGUCGUGAGAGGUCAUCACCCGUGCCACCGCAAAGGAUCAAAUUUCACUUUGUUGGUCUGAAAAUUAUUUAUUGAC